rnacentral:rRNA from 1 species
AGUGAACGCUGGCGGUAGGCCUAACACAUGCAAGUCGAACGGCAGCACAGUAAGAGCUUGCUCUUACGGGUGGCGAGUGGCGGACGGGUGAGGAAUACAUCGGAAUCUACUUUUUCGUGGGGGAUAACGUAGUGAAACUUACGCUAAUACCGCAUACGACCUACGGGUGAAAGCAGGGGAUCUUCGGACCUUGCGCGAUUGAAUGAGCCGAUGUCGGAUUAGCUAGUUGGCGGGGUAAAGGCCCACCAAGGCGACGAUCCGUAGCUGGUCUGAGAGGAUGAUCAGCCACACUGGAGCUGAGACACGGUCCAGACUCCUACGGGAGGCAGCAGUGGGGAAUAUUGGACAAUGGGCGCAAGCCUGAUCCAGCCAUACCGCGUGGGUGAAGAAGGCCUUCGGGUUGUAAAGCCCUUUUGUUGGGAAAGAAAAGCAGCAGGUUAAUACCCCGCUGUUCUGACGGUACCCAAAGAAUAAGCACCGGCUAACUUCGU